GGCUCGAUGGUCUAGUGGUAUGAUUCUCGCUUUGGGUUCUAACGUCCUAAAUUGCGAGAGGCCUCGGGUUCGAAUCCCGAUCGAGCCC